rnacentral:tRNA from 1 species
GGUGCCGAGUGGCUGAAGGCGCUCCCCUGCUAAGGGAGUAUGGGUUAAUAGCCCAUCGAGGGUUCGAAUCCUAAUGUUACCA